GUCCUCACUUGAUCAGCACAUAGACUAAAACUGGAAUGAUAAAGAAAAGUUUAGUAUAGCCGCUGCACAAGGAUGACACACAAAUUCAUGAAGUAUUACAUAUUAAA
ensembl:snRNA U6 U6 spliceosomal RNA